UGUCUGUGUGUGAGAUCAUCUGUCUGAGGUCCUGCAUCAACACGCUGGUGUUAUAAAAUGUUCACAUAAAUGCAGGAGGACCUACCGGAUGAAGACAUUUGCCAAUGAGGUUGGACAGUUGCUGAAGGCUUGGACAUGUUUCCACUCAAGCAACAACUGCUGGGUAUUGAGGUGGGGUCAAAGCAUUUGCUGUGCAGACAGUCUGCACUGUCAUCUGCAAAUAUUUCAUGCAUCAUGCUGGCAUGGGUGGUUUACAGGAGACGGACAUGAA